AUUGUAUUAAAACAAACUAUUUUUCUGGAAAGUUUUCCCAUUAAGCGUCUAACCUCCAAGCAUCGAAUCCCAGGCCAAUUUGUUUCAAAGUACCAACCUGGAGAAAAUGCCCUGGAUUUGGAAGCAAAGUAUUGAAUGUUGGAAGUCUGAAUAAAGGAAUCAUACACUGUAUGUGCACCUGAAUGUACUUUACAAGCAUCAGUAGAACACUUCUGAUUGAAGCUUGGUCUUAUGAAGAUAAAAAUUUUAUGUGGACCACAGAUUCUCUAAAAAUCAAUGCUUCCUGUCCUCAAACAUCGGACUCCAAAUUCUUCAGCUUUGGGACGGACUGGCUUCCUUGCUCCUCAGCUUGCAGACAGCCGACUGUGGGACCUUGUGAUCAUUUUGGAAACAGAUACUGCAAUCCCAGAAAAUCUUGCCAUAAGAAGAGCCUAGCCAAUAGUUUGACUGCGAUUUCAUGGGAGACCUCAAGGCAGAGUGAUCCAGAAUACCACAGUCUGGAGGCUAUGAAGUCCAUGAUUAAGAAGCCAGCACGUUUGCUUUCUGGUUCCAAGAUGGCAUACCUUUUUGCUGCUUCCUCCAGAGAGGAGGAACACUGUGUUCUCACAUAGUAGAAGAUGGAAGGAGCAGAUGCAGAUGAGCAUGGCAAUGUGAGAAUAUGUCAGAGGCCCCAGGAUGAAAUGAGCUCAAGUCCCUGAAAUCCCUGUUAGAAGAGUCUUUCCACUGGUUGGGAAUGCUAAUUGUAUUUUGACAACUCAAUGUUUCAGCAACUCAAAAUGUUACAGCUUCUGCAUUGGAAUAAAAAAA
rnacentral:lncRNA from 1 species